AUUGUAUACGCAUCAAUGACGAUGAAAUUUGCGGAUGCCCUUAUUGUAAGUAUAAACUGCAUGAUAUAUUUUACAAAAUUUAAGAUAACAACAGUGCCAUGCACGACAAUUCAGUGAUUAAUCCUUGUGUCGCCGUUGUUUUGGUCGUAAUUAAUUAGUAUUAUCCUCCAUACUACAAUUCAUCUACCAUUCAUAUACCCAUUAAGGCGGAUUUCCAUUUGCAAGAAAAAUUUCGUUGUCGAAAUUUUCCGCUCAAUUUUUUUGAAUUGUGAGCGGUCAAUUUGAUCAUAAUUUUAAAGAAAUGUAGCGAAAUAUUUCAACGACGAAAUAUUCAUGUGUUUACAUAGAACUCAUUCCUUAUUGUGACUUAUAUGAAUGUUUAAUUUGACGCUAUAGCAGUCAGAUCUGAUACAUUUUAAAAAAUGUCCACUUUUUUCUUCGACGUUCCAAACUAAAACAACUUUAAGUUUUAUCUUUAAAAUAAUCGAGUGAUACGAACAUUUACUGAUUUAUACGUACAUGUAUGUGAUUCAUAAGUUCUUGGACUAACGUUCUUGGACUCGUGUUAUAUCUAUAUACAUGGCUUAAUUAAAUCACAUGACCAUAUAUUAUAUCCAUUCCUCAAUACAUUCUAUACAUUGUACCCCGGCGCUAUUUUAUAUGGAAAGGCAGAAUAUUAAACUUAUAAUCACUGGACGCAUCAAGAAAGAAAUGUAUCUGUCUCCGAUACAAAAUACAAAAAAUUUGUUAAAAUUACAAAUAUUUCAAACUUUGACACAACCAUAAAAAACAAUGCUCCAGAAGCAAGUGGGAAAUUUGUUUAUGUUGACAAUUUAUUGAUGUUCUUAAUUGAAAGCAGUGCACUUUGUUUUAUUAGUCGAUAUAUGUCUGUUCAAACAAAUAACCUAUAUACGAACUAUAUAAUAAUGUUUUUGCUUUUUGAAAGUGAGCAAAGUGACAAUGGAAUCUUUCUCUGUCGUGAAUUAGUAAACAUUGGAGUAAAUGCAUUUUGAUUCAAGAGUUUAUUGUUUUUAACGCAAUUGUGAAUGAUACACGCUUUUGUUUAAAUUCAGAGAAAGUUGCAAUCGAUUUCAUAGAUCAGUCUUGGAUUGCAUGCGUAUAGAUAAAUUCUCCACCUGUUAGUGCCCAGCACACACACGUUAUUUACCGUCAAGAUCGGCCCUUGCUUGAAAAAUAUUUUCUAGACAAAUUUCCCUGCCGGAAAUAGCAUAAAAUAUCUCUAAUAGCCUUUUAUUUUAAAACCACGCGUGUGUAAAACUCUUUCUACAUCGUCUUUUAUAAACGUCUAAUUACUCCAUAUUUCUUUACAUUACUAUACAGUAGAUAAAGGAACCGACCACAUUCGAGGGUCUAUCAACGCGGGUUUCACAAGGGAUACGUCAAACAACAGUCACGUAACUAUGUUUUUAAAUUGGAACGAUGCUACUUGGAAAGAUGCGAUAAAUAUAACAUAUUUUAAAGUUCAGAUACAGAAAGAACAAGAGCCAAUAAUCUUGCGGAAAGAUUAUGUCAACGCAUCCUCAAAUGU
rnacentral:lncRNA from 1 species